rnacentral:rRNA from 1 species
GUCUACUGCCAUACCACCCUGAACAUGUCUGAUCUCGGAAGCUAAGCAGGGUCGGGCCUGGUUGGUACUUGGAUGGGAGACUGCCUGGGAAUACUGGGUGCUGUAGGCU